AGAGUUUGAUCCUGGCUCAGGACGAACGCUGGCGGCGUGCCUAACACAUGCAAGUCGAACGGAGAAUUUCAAUAAGCUUGCUUAGCGAAAUUUUUAGUGGCGGACGGGUGAGUAACGCGUGGGUAACCUACCCAUAAACCCGGGACAACCCUUGGAAACGAGGGCUAAUACCGGAUAAUCUUAAGAAGUGGCAUCACUUUUUAAGAAAAGGUGGCCUCUGAAGAUGCUACCGAUUAUGGAUGGACCCGCGUCUGAUUAGCUAGUUGGUGGGGUAAAGGCCUACCAAGGCGACGAUCAGUAGCCGGCCUGAGAGGGUGAACGGCCACACUGGGACUGAGACACGGCCCAGACUCCUACGGGAGGCAGCAGUGGGGAAUCUUCCGCAAUGGACGAAAGUCUGACGGAGCAACGCCGCGUGUAUGAUGAAG
rnacentral:rRNA from 1 species